UACGGAGGGGGGCGAGCGUUAUUCGGAAUUAUUGGGCGUAAAGGGCGCGUAGGCGGCUCUUUAAGUCAAAGGUGAAAUCCCUCGGCUCAACUGAGGAACUGCCUUUGAAACUGAGGAGCUUGAGUCCGGGAGGGGGUAGCGGAAUUCCCAGUGUAGCGGUGAAAUGCGUAGAUAUUGGGAGGAACACCAGUGGCGAAGGGCGGCUACCUGGACCGGAACUGACGCUGAUGCGCGAAAGCGUGGGUAGCAAACAGG
rnacentral:rRNA from 1 species